GAUGAACGCUGGCGGCGUGCCUAAUACAUGCGAGUCGAGCGAACAGACGAGGAGCUUGCUCCUCUGACGUUAGCGGCGGACGGGUGAGUAACACGUGGAUAACCUACCUAUAAGACUGGGAUAACUUCGGGAAACCGGAGCUAAUACCGGAUAAUAUAUUGAACCGCAUGGUUCAAUAGUGAAAGACGGUUUUGCUGUCACUUAUAGAUGGAUCCGCGCCGCAUUAGCUAGUUGGUAAGGUAACGGCUUACCAAGGCAACGAUGCGUAGCCGACCUGAGAGGGUGAUCGGCCACACUGGAACUGAGACACGGUCCAGACUCCUACGGGAGGCAGCAGUAGGGAAUCUUCCGCAAUGGGCGUAAGCCUGACGGAGCAACGCCGCGUGAGUGAUGAAGGUCUUCGGAUCGUAAAACUCUGUUAUUAGGGAAGAACAAAUGUGUAAGUAACUAUGCACGUCUUGACGGUACCUAAUCAGAAAGCCACGGCUAACUACGUG
rnacentral:rRNA from 1 species